rnacentral:misc_RNA from 1 species
AGUCAACAGACAAAAGCCAACUAUGUAUUGGUUCAAAAGGGUACAUCACCUAUUUAUAUGAUUCCCAAGGAUAUUAAAGAUUUGAUCAAGAACGACAGGGUGCCUGGAGUUCUGAAAAAGCCAUUGUCUAUGUCAACAUAUAAGGAUUAUUUUGCUGCUCUUCUUUAUGCUGAAGACUUCUAUAUUGAGAAAUGGAGUGAAUUCAAAUUGGAGAAUAUCACAUUAAAGUUGCAACAAGCAUCAAUCUUUAAACUGUCAUCCUUCUCAGAGAGUCAUGAGAAGGAUAAUAAAACCUUGGUGACAUUUGAGAUUGACUCAUGUCAUGA